GAUGAACGCUGGCGGCAUGCCUAAUACAUGCAAGUCGAACGAACCAGCCCACAAUUAAUGAAGUGCUUGCACUGAUUUAUGCGUGGAUUUUCUGGUGAGUGGCGAACGGGUGAGUAACACGUAGGUAACCUGCCCUUAAGUUAGGGAUAACUGUUGGAAACGACAGCUAAUACCUAAUAGGAUAAUUUUUCGCAUGAUUAAUUGUUUAAAGGCGCGUUUGCGUCGCUAAAGGAUGGACCUGCGGUGCAUUAGCUAGUUGGUGAGGUAAUGGCUCACCAAGGCGACGAUGCAUAGCCGGACUGAGAGGUUGAACGACCACAUUGGGACUGAGACACGGCCCAAACACCUACGGGUGGCAGCAGUAGGGAAUUUUUCGCAAUGGGCGCAAGCCUGACGGAGCAAUGCCGCGUGAAGGAUGACGGUCUUCGGAUUGUAAACUUCUGUUGUAAGGGAAGAAAAUUAAGAGUAGGAAAUGCCUCUUAACUGACGGUACCUUACCAGAAAGCCACGGCUAACUACGUGCCAGCAGCCGCGGUAAUACGUAGGUGGCAAGCGUUAUCCGGAAUUAUUGGGCGUAAAGAGCAUGUAGGCGGUUUAUUAAGUCUGGUGUGAAAGCUAGUGGCCCAACCACUAAAUUGCAUUGGAAACUGAUAAACUAGAAUACUGGAGAGGCAAGUGGAAUUCCAUGUGUAGCGGUGGAAUGCGCAGAUAUAUGGAGGAACACCAAUGGCGAAGGCAGCUUGCUGGACAGAGAUUGACGCUGAGAUGCGAAAGCGUGGGGAGCAAACAGGAUUAGAUACCCUGGUAGUCC
rnacentral:rRNA from 1 species